CAGCCCUUGAAUCUCUGUCAUUUCUCAGAAAAUACCCUAGGGAAAAGGCCUCAGAGGCCCAAAUGUUCUUCUCAACAUUAUUUUAAUCAGGAAAUACUGCAAACUAUCCCAAAGCCAACUAAAAUGGUAGGGCAGAGGGAAGUUUUCUGUAAAUGCCACUGGAGAAAGUAUCACACGGCCCUCGCGGUCCCAGGGGCUGGGCCAGGGCAGGCUGUGGCCUCCCAGGGAGUUUUACAGAUGCUGGAUCACAGGGGUGGGCCCAUGAGAAGCGGGCGGCGGGCUCCUCCGCCCUCAGACUUGCAAGCACGGACCACGGCCGCCUAUGCUGGCAAGACCGCGAUCAUGCUUUUUCAUUUCUCAGGGUUCAGUAAUCUGCCUGCAUCUCUUCUCCAGCAGCAGCUGCACAUUACGCCAUGGGGCAUCAACUCCGAGGAGCGCUUGGCACGCGCCUUCCUCCUCCCAGCCUGGAAUCAUCGCCCGGGCCCUUCCCUCUCAGGGCGGGGACCUCUCUAGGGAAAGGAAGGGCUUUCCAGGGCAGCCCCUCCAGCCUGCAUCUCCUGGGAGGGCCCCAGAGAGGGCACUGGGCAGCUUCACUUCAAAUCGGGGGCAUUGGGGCUGAGCCCGAAGCAGGAGGGCAGCAAGGGUCCUGACAUUGUGGACUUGGCCAGGGAGGGGCCAGUCCCUCUCAGCCACCCACAGCUACCUGUCCCGAGAGUGUGAGGAUUCGGGUCUUUGGUGGGCUCUGGGGAAGGGGCUGCAAGGAAGCGGGCCCAGAACCUGGUGCUGAGGCCCAGGACCCAUGCAGGGACGUGGGGCAGGACAGAGAGGGGCAGGGCAGGGGCAGGGACAGGGGCAGGGAUGCGGGAUAGGACAGGGGUACGGACAGGGAUGGGGCAGGGACGCAGGGCAGGACAGGGGCAGGGACGGGGCGGGACACGGGACAGGACAGGCGCAGGGGCAGGGCAGGGAUGCAGGGCAGGACAGGGAUGAGGGCAGGGACGUGGGGCAGGGACAGGGACGUGGGGCAGGGACAGGGACAUGGGGCAAGACAGGGACGGGGCAGGGACGUGGGGCAGGGCAGGGAGAGGGGCAGGGACGUGGGGCAGGACAGAGAGGGGCAGGGCAGGGGCAGGGACAGGGGCAGGGACACGGACAGGGCAGGGAUGCGGGGCAAGACAGGGAGGGGGCAGGGAUACGAGGCAGGACAAGGAGGGGGCAGGGACUCAGGGCAGGACAGGGCAGGGGCAGAGGCAGGACAGGGACGGUGCAGCCUCCGCUGCUGCCCUCUCGGGGAGCCUGGCUCCCACCCUCACCCAGCCACUGCUCCUGGGCACAGAGCUGAAGGGGAACUGGAGGCUGCGGCGUUCCUCUCUCCGUCCCCCUCUCUCUGGUGACUCAUGUGAUAACGAACCGACCUUUUGGAGACAUUCUGUGCCCUCAACAAAAGCGGCCCCUGUCUGGAAACCCCCCCGAGGAGACUGACUUCCUCCCCUGCUGCCUGGGCUGCGGUAGCUCUUCCGGCACCUGCUCUUCAGGCACCUGCCCUGUGCUGGCCCCUCCUGCAACAAUCGGGAGCCCUCACCUCAGUCGGCGCUGCAGAACCAGCCCAGGAGAGCAGCUGGCCUGUCAUCUGCUGAGGAGCGGAGGCGUGCGGGGAUCCGGAGGGGAAGGGGGUCUGGAGUGCUCCGGGGGAGACCCUCAGGGACUGCCCUGCUGCUGGCAGCGCCUGGGCCCACGGCUGAUGGAGGCGUCUCCUGGCCCCCAGGGCUGUGCCCAGGACUGCAAUGGCCUCCCACACUACCUCACUACCCUGGUCCAGGCUCACUGACAGAUGAGGAAACUGAGGCAGGGGCCCUGGUCUCACGGCCAUUGGUGCAGAGCUGGGAUCCACGACCAGGUGGGCUCUUUGUUAUUACUUCCUCCAAGGACAAGCCCAGGUUCUCCAGGGUGUGGGGUCCACGUGUGGCCACAGCGGGCCUUAGAGACAGACAGGCCUGGGUAGGGGGAGGGGUGGGUGGGCAAGGCCUUAGAGACAGGCCUGGCGGGGGAGGGGCCGGGCCUGUGCACUGGCAGUGGUGGCACCACGGGCCCUUGGGGACACCAAGUGAGCUCUUUAAAGUGGCUAAAGUGGUAAACCUUGUGUUUUGUAUAGAUUCUACCAAUUAAAAAAAGGAAAUGUGGGCCGGGCGUGGUGGCUCAUGCCUGUGAUCCCAGCACUUUGGGAGGCCGAGGCAGGUGGAUCACCCAAGGUCAGGAGUUCAAGAGCAGCCUGGCCAACAGGGUGAAAUCCCAUCUCUCCUAAAAAAACAAAACAAAACAAAACAAAACAAAAACAGAAUUAGCCGGGCAUGGUGGUGGGCACCUGUAGUCCCAGCUACUGGGGAGGCUGAGGCAGAAGAAUCACAUAAACCCAGGAGGCGGAGGUUCCAACGAACUAGGAUCGCACCACUGCACUCCAGCCUGGACAACAAAGUGAGACUCUGUCUCAAAAAAAAAAAAAAAAAGAAAAAAAAAAGGAAAAGAGAAAGAAAAAGAAAAAAAAGUGACAAUUCACAUAGACCCCUGAAAACCUCUGGGCUUAGGGACAGCAAGAGCCUUCCUGGGGCCUCCUGGACCAUGUCGGGGCCUCCGAGGCCUCUGGGACGCCAUCCCUGCUCAGCUUCCUCGCUCUCCUUUUGCCCGAGAACAAGCUCUGUUCUGGCCACGGCGUUGUCUACACAACACAGCUAACUGCUUUGCCAUCAGCCCUCAUACAGAUUUAAAACACACACACACACACACACACACACACACACACACACACACACACAAAAGAUAAGGUUAUGGGCUGCACUGCGUCCCCCAAAUUCACAGAGUGAAGUCCCGACUUCAGGAUCCGCCUGUAUUCAGACACAGGGUCUUUACAGAGGCGACAAAGGUGAAACAAGGUUACCAGGGUGGGCUCUGACCUGACCUACCGGCGUCCUUAAAAGAGGAGGACACAGACACGCAGGAGGGGCGGCCACGCAAGGACACAGGGAGGUGGUGCCGCCUGCCUGCAAGGAGAGGCUUCGUAACAGCCACGCCGCACCUCAACCCGGGACGCCCCCAGGACUGGAGAGAACCCACAUCUGCUGUGGGAGCACCUGGCCACGGUGUGUGCGAGGCGGCCCCGGCAAACUCACGUAGACAGGACCCAGCUCCCCCAGGCCAUCUUUCAAUGGGAGAGGGUGACCCAGUGUUUUCCCAAAACCCAGCACGGUCCCCAGGACGCGUUCCCCACCAGGGUGGGCUGGGCCGGAUCACAGCCCAGGCUCCCAGAGACUUCCGGUGCCACAUCAGCUCACAGAGCUUCCUGUUUCAGCCCAGAUCAGAAACACCAUGAGACGCCCAAGGAGGAAUAUUUUAAUACUUCUGCUAUUUGGCCUCACCCAAAACCAGAAAGUGCAGGGAGUCGUGAAAAUGAAGAAAAUGAUCAGAA